rnacentral:rRNA from 1 species
UGCAAGUCGCGUGCGCAGUUCCUGUAGCAAUACAGGGAUGGGCGCACGGCGCACGGGUGCGUAACACGUGGGCAAUCUGCCCUCCGAUGGGGAAUAACCCCGCGAAAGCGGGGCUAAUUCCGCAUAACAUUCCUUGGACUCACGUUCGAGGAUUCAAAGCAGCAAUGCGUCGGAGGAGGAGCCCGCGCCUGAUUAGCUAGUUGGUGAGGUAACGGCUCACCAAGGCAAUGAUCGGUAGCUGGUCUGAGAGGAUGGCCAGCCACACUGGAACUGAGACACGGUCCAGACUCCUACGGGAGGCAGCAGUGGGGAAUCUUGCACAAUGGGCGAAAGCCUGAUGCAGCGACGCCGCGUGGGGGAUGAAGCUUUUCGGAGUGUAAACCCCUUUCGCCUGGGAAGAAUGCCCGCAAGGGAGUGACGGUACCAGGAUAAGAAGCCCCGGCUAACUACGUGCCAGCAGCCGCGGUAAGACGUAGGGGGCCAGCGUUGUUCGGAAUUACUGGGUGUAAAGGGUUCGUAGGCGGUGCGGCAAGUUGGGAGUGAAAUCUCUGGGCUCAACCCAGAGGCUGCUUCCAAAACUGCUGUGCUUGAGUGUGAGAGAGGCUCGUGGAAUUGCAGGUGUAGCGGUGAAAUGCGUAGAUAUCUGCAGGAACACCCGUGGCGAAAGCGGCGAGCUGGAUCACUACUGACGCUGAGGAACGAAAGCUAGGGGAGCAAACAGGAUUAGAUACCCUGGUAGUCCUAGCCCUAAACGAUCAGGACUUGGGGUGCCGCCCGUUCGGGCGUCGUCCCGGAGCUAACGCGUUAAGUCCUGCACCUGGGGAGUACGGUCGCA